rnacentral:lncRNA from 1 species
GCUAUAAUUUGUCGCGCUUGAGAUACGUAGAUGCCGGGUUGCCAGUUAUUAAUAUCUGUAGGAAAUCAUUUUAGGAUUGGAUAAAAGAUGGCGGUAAUGAUUUAUAAACUUUAAGGUCUUUAAGUUGGUAUGGUAAAAUGUCAGAUAUGAUGAUAAGGUAAAUUUGGAGCUUUUGAGGUUUCGAGGUGACGAAAUUCCGUCGACUCGGCCAUUUCGCAAACGAUUCGGCUGGUAUCCAGAAGUGUAGUGGCUCGCGUGUGAACUUUUUUCCUUUAGUUCUUUGGACAAGUUCCUUUUCAUUUAACUUUUUCCUUCAAACCUAUUUAAGCUCUACGGUUUGCGAACCGUUCUUUUUCAUCGAGUCACCUUUCUGCGUGACCUUUCUUUACAUACCAAGAAGCGCUCGUUCAACGGGCGCUUGGUAUAGGCUGGUUUUUUCUCAUACCCGUUUCUGCGGAAACGAUCCCGACGGUGGAACUCUCCACGUGGUUUUGCGAAACCUAACCUCCAAUUCGGAACCGAUCCUGCAACCGGGCACCCCUCGUGUCCCCUGCUCCGCUCGUGCGUGCUGCUAAGGCCCGCCUUUCGAGGCAGUCAAACGGAGGUCGAGGUAAUUCGCUAAAGUUAUCGUUUGCGAGAUACCCAUCGGUCGCCAAUUGCCGAUUGGAAGUUAGGAUCCCAACCCGCUACAA